AAGUGUUUAGGAGGUCACUCUACUCUCUACUGUUCACAUGUCACAUAAAACAAUAUUGUCAUUCAUCUAAAACAAUCAAAAUCUUCACAUGCAAAUGCCAUCACAAGGACUUUUCCCAAGGCUUGUAAUGAGGCUGGGCUAUCAAGAAAAAUUGGUUUUUCUGGAAUACAAAAUCAUUGGAGUUAAAAGAGUUUAAAUCAUUAUUCAAAGUUCAAGCACACUCUCUUUUCAUCCAAUCUUACUCAUUCCCAACUUUUUUCCCUUUUUCUUUUUAUAUUGAGUUCACUUUACAUCCUUUUUCUCUUUUCUUCUUUUCUUUUUCUUUCUCAUGCAUUUUUUUCUUUUUCACUUUUGAACUCAAUGUUUUUCUUUUUCUUUUGCCUUUCACUUUCCCCAUACAACCCCAAACUUGAACCUUUUAAACACAUAUAAUUCUUCUCAACCC
rnacentral:lncRNA from 1 species